rnacentral:rRNA from 1 species
UACGUAGGGUGCAAGCGUUAAUCGGAAUUACUGGGCGUAAAGCGUGCGCAGGCGGUUCUAUAAGACAGAUGUGAAAUCCCCGGGCUCAACCUGGGAACUGCAUUUGUGACUGUAGAGCUGGAGUGCGGCAGAGGGGGAUGGAAUUCCGCGUGUAGCAGUGAAAUGCGUAGAUAUGCGGAGGAACACCGAUGGCGAAGGCAAUCCCCUGGGCCUGCACUGACGCUCAUGCACAAAAGCGUGGGGAGCAAACAGG